rnacentral:rRNA from 1 species
UACAGAGGUCUCAAGCGUUUGUUCGGAUUCAUUGGGCGUAAAGGGUGCGUAGGUGGCGCUGUAAGUCGGGUGUGAAAUUUCGGAGCUUAACUCCGAAACUGCAUUCGAUACUGCGGUGCUUGAGGACUGGAGAGGAGACUGGAAUUCAUGGUGUAGCAGUGAAAUGCGUAGAGAUCAUGAGGAAGACCAGUGGCGAAGGCGGGUCUCUGGACAGUUCCUGACGCUGAGGCACGAAGGUCAGGGGAGCAAAACGGG